CCGCGGGCGGCAGGCGCGGAGGGGCGGGCGGGGGGACGCCCCUCGCCGCCUCGCACCGCCCGGUCCGGCCUGGCCCGGCACGGCGCGCUCCGGCUGCACAGCCGAUAGGCGCAGGGAGAAGUGAAGAUGUAACCACUUAUUAUCUCCCCCCGGCGCGGGCGGGGAUUUGCGGACAGAGAUCAGCCGGCGGGGAGACGGGAUCUGCCUUUUGUUGUGCUGCCUCCCCCCGGCCCGGGCAGCCCCGAGGGGAGCGGAGAGGGGCUCGCCUGCCGCGCUGUCCGUGGGCAGGGAGGAGGUGGCCGCAAACAAAGGUGGUGACUAAGGGACCCCACUUUAAACACAGCCCAGAGGAACAGAGGGGGCCAUGUCUGGGUGUCUGCGGGACGGGGUGGAGGAGCCCCGGCCUGGGGAGGCGGCGGGGCUGAGGGGAUGUGACAGCCCCGGCCUGUCAUGCCCGGGCACCCACCGCUCACUCCUGGUGUGGUUUCAGUGAAGGAUCCUGACUUCCAAAAUUCCCGAGGGGGAUGACACCAGGCUUCAGGAAAAGUGCCCUGUUUGCUCUUUUUGUUGUUUUGGAUGGACUUCUGGUGGUGCUUUUUAAGUUCUCUUCCAGAUUAAAAUGAAUUGCAUGCUCAGUGUGUGCACACCCGGUGCUUUAAAGAACGGCUUUAAACAAUUACCUUUAUAUUUAAAAGUUUGAAAUAUUUAUACUGCCGUUGCACUUUGUCAAGUGUUUGCACAGAUAGAUAUAUAGAUAUGAUCUGGUAACUAAAAGCCUAAUUAAAAUUUGUUUAAAGCCAGGGGGGCAUGUAUUCUUGUUGACAGCAGCAGAUCGAUAGGGUAAGACAAUAGAGCCCCAUUAUUUUACUUCCAUUGACUGAACAUAUUGACAUUUCAGGUUUGCGAUUGCCUCAGUGAGCAUGAUGAAACACUGAAAUUCAUGAACCAACUGUCUGGAGUGGCACAUAUAUUACUGAACCCAAGGAUUUCUGGUUGUGCUGUUUGCAUGCUUGCCAUGUUCACCAAUGGCAGCAUCUCAACCCAGUCUUGAUGCUCAAGUUCCAGAGCAUCUGCUAGACCUUCUCCCAGUCUGAAGACUGCAAAGGAAACAAAGAACAACUUUGAAAUAAAUAAAUGCCCUUUGAGUUUCUCUCCCCUCAACAUGUUCAAACAACAGUGCUUGGGGAAUUCAAUACAGUGAGACUAUAGCAGAAUGAAACAUACAUGCAUAUAUGUAUAUCUAUAUAUAUACACAUACACAUUUUUUCCUUGCUAUAAGCACCAUAAAAAGAAAUGUCUGGGCAAUAUGUGCACAUGAAUGCAUAAUUGUAUAUAUCAGUCUAUAUGAUUGCAUAUAAAUGCAUAUGUAAAGAAGACCCCUGUCUGCAGAGCAUGCAAUGUGUUUAUUAUUCCAGGGGCUCUCACAUCAUCUUUAAAAUCUAGCUGACUGUAGAAUGAAACCCAUCAAGACAGUGCAGGGAUAGAGACUGAAAUUAAUUUAAAGCAGACAAAGAGCAAAUACAGAAGAGUCAUUAUGAUUUAACUAAUUUUUAAAAGUAAGCGGACUGAAAAUAUAAAAUGUAUUUUGUGUGCCAUCUACUCAGCAAUUGUUGCCAUCAAGUGGACUGCCGAUGCCCUUUAAGAUGGUAAAAAGAAAACUAGUCCUGUAUACCAUUUUCCUGAAAAUGUUAGGUUUCUGUUUGAUCAGCAGGUGCUGUUGAGAUGAAAGCCAUGUGUAAAUUUUCAGAAGGCCAAAAGUGUCAAUUCAGAAAAGGAAAGUGAUAAGAGAAAAUGCAAUCAGUUUUCCUGUUUUCAAUUUGUGCAGGAUUUGAAGAGCUGUUUUGUUAAACUGCUACAUCUGCUCCAAUAUGAAUAUUGAACUACUUCCACUAAAAAUAACACCCUAUAAUUUGGAAGCCAUUGCAAUCUUUUGUUAAUGCAAGUGGGUUAUUUGAAAAAAAAAAUCUAUUCUGAAAAAUCUCCUGCCUAAUGUGCAUUUUUGUUUAUCGGCACUUUUAUCUUCAGCAGAUAAAAUGGCAUUAUGCAAUUAGGACCAUAUCUAUUUGAACUGGAAAAAUGACACUGGAUAGCUAAAUGCCACUAUGUUGGUAAAAGGAUUUAACUCGUAUUUUUAAAAUAAUUUUAUUAAUAAACUAUGAUUGUAUCUUAAAAUGACAUGUGUCUGUUUCCCCAUUGCAGCAAUACAGCUUUACUUACUACUGAGGACCUUGAGCAAUGGAAAGGAUGUUCAGUAUAUGACACAACUUUCUUUGGCUUGUUUCAUUCCUGAUAUACCUGCAAAUCUUAAGUUUAGGCUCAAAAAGGACAUUCUAGUUAAUGGGGAUUUUGGAGUAACUUUUUCCAUGGUAAAUGAAAUGAUAGAGUCAUAUUUGAAUGCACAUAUACAAAAAUAUUCACGGUUGUGGAGCUGCUAAUCCAAGUUGAUUCUAUGACUUGGAAAGCAUGGUAUUGGUAGAGCAUACAUUUUCUAUCUUAAGCAUCUCUGGAGAGCAUAACACUGUUUCUUCUAAUUAAAAAAAAAAACAACAAAAAAACUCGAUGAUAACCUAAUGGAAAAGAUAUGUGUUAAUUUUUUAAAAUAGGGAUCUAAACGAAGAAGGGAUAAUUCACUGUUAAAUCUAUGGAGCUCUGUGUUAAUCUGUGGAGCUACUACUUAGCAUGAGUAAACGUGCAGAGUAGGAUGAGAGUUUUUAUUGCUUUAUUUCAACGUAGCUAAUUACCUGGUUUUAAUAUUGGAAUGGGUUUUAGCUGUUGAAUUCUAAUCUAAUCUAGUAGUCAGGAACUAAUUUUUUUGGUAGGUGUCUGCAUGGGAAAGGGCCUUGCUGAUGCUUCCGUUUGGUUUUGCAAUUGCAUUUAUACACUUUUGACCUUGGGGGAUUUUCCUCAAAGUGAUCUACAGAUCAGAAAUAAUUAAAAUUCAAUAAACAAAUUUAAAUAUAGAAUGGAUUCUGUGUGAGAUCCAUGCUUGUGGUAGGUUGUCUAGAAGUCUGUGGCACGUCUACUUCAUAGUUUGUAUUCCCCAGCAUAACUGUGUGCACACAUGUGCAUAAAUUUAUAUUGAAUGACAGAGGGAUAAUUAUUUAUACAGAUUUUAUCCAAAACUCUGCUCUCCUGAAACCUAACAAAAAGCCUCCCUCCCCAGAAGAGUGUUUACAUCCCGUGACAGUCACUAGAUUCAAAUCUUCUCAACAUGAAAGUUGUUUCCUUUCCUCCAAACCUUCUUUUCCCCAACAAAGCUAACCCUGUUAAACCUCACCUUCUGUGGGAUGUAUACAUAGUUAUAGACAUAUGUACGAGAAGUAAAUAUUACAGAAAACAUGGCCGAUUGGGGCAAAAUGUCUGUAGCCUUAAAUAGCUGGUGAUAUCUGCCAACAGCAGGAGCGGCGCUGAGGAGGCCCUACCUCGGCUGACCCGGGAUGUGAGAGCCUUGGGGAGCCUCGUGUUCGUGCUCAGCGCCUGAGUGGGGCUUUCUGCUCGCAGAUACUGCUUCGCAGUUCUGAAACCCAGCAGCUUUUUACUUUGGUUGUUGGAUUUUCUGGUACUUUGAACAGGGCUUGAGGUGGAGCCCAGCCCCAAAAGAAAGAUUAUAACUGCAUGCAGGGUGUCCAGAUUUUCUUAUCUAAGUGUUCUGAACACAUUCAUGGGAGUGUUCUGUUUUCUUAAUCUUUGCCAGAAAUGCUGCAUACAGUUUUGCUGUUCCCGUUGAAUUGUUGCCAUAUUUAACUCCACGGUUGUGAAUGGAAAUGUGAAUACUUUAAUGUUCUCUCCCGUUUUCUGUAACACAUUUUGGGAUGCCUGGAAAGGGAAGGCAUCCUAGGUACUCAAAAGUAUUUCAGAAUACACAAAAAGAAUUUAAUUGAAGUUCUGAAACUUGGGUUUGUUUAUAUGUAGUUUUUUGGGCAUAUGUGAUAUGGUGACUUAUUUAAGGAAUAUAUUUUUAUACUCAGUAUUAUUUAUUGAAUGUAAUGUUCAUGAAAGUACAGUUGUGCUGUACAGAACUGUAUAGCAACAAUAUUCCUGCAUGAUCCCAUAUUUUAACAUUGAUUUGGGAUCCUCAUGGGAUAGCUCAUGAUUUUUUAAAUCAUUUUGGAAGGCAUUUGAUUCAUUGCCAUUUUAAUGUCUAUCAAGACAGGUAUACUCUGGUGUUUACAGUAAAGUAAAUGUGCAAAGUUCAUGGAAUAUAGAUACUAGGUUUUUUUGGAAAUUAGGUUGCAGUCUGGAAAGACAGAAGACUCCACCUAGUGGAGUGGAAUUAAUAUGCACAUGGUGGCAGGCAGCGCAGAGAGUAAAACCUAGGAAUUCAGACAAGCAUCGGAGGCGAUGGUUGUAUGACCAUUAGAAAUUGUAACAGGUUGUAGUUACUUUUGGAGCUCUAGGAGGCUUAUGUAUGUCUGCCAUGUUGGUUGUUAAUAUGCAGUUUGCAUAAGUAGUAGGCAUUACCACUAGUUUUUUUAUUUUGUGGUGUCUUUUAUUUGGAGAUCUGUUGUCUACAUUUUUAAAUUUCUGAUGGUGACCCCUCAGGAACCCCUUUUGGUUGUGGCCCAGGUGCCAUUUAAAAUACCUUGUUUUUAAAAAAAAAAAAAGGACCAACAAUUUAGUUCCCAAAAAAUCACCACUUUUUCUCCCACAACUACUUAUUUUUCAGAGUACCUUUUCUGGUUUUUGCUUCUUUUACUUCAGUAAUGACAGUAUCAGAAUGUUGGUUCUGCAUGUUACCAUGAUAGGUUGUGUGGCAUGUUGACUAAGGCUGUGUGUAGUUUCUGGGAGUCACAAGGUUUAACAAACUCUCUGAUGAAGCAUCAGAUUGUAUGGGGUUUUGUGCCUGUGCUUUACUGUCCCAUUGGUUUGGUCAUGUUGUGCUACUGGGAUGUAAUAAAAAGAAUUUUAAAGCUGAGAUGUGAGUGAACAUCCAUCCUGUGCAGCUAAGAUAUUGGCCUAAUAUCCUCUUGGAAAAUUAAUUCUAACAUUGAAUCACACAUGCAUUGGACAAGUUGAGGAAGAGAACUCCCCAAGACCAGCUCAGGCUUUGACAGUGAGAGAGUGAGGCUAUUGCCAGAAAACGGGAUGAUUAAGGUGCAACGGAGGAGACAGAAUGAUGCAAAGGAUAUUUGGGAAGAGUGCUCCAAAGGCGUGCUUCCAGUGAAAUCCAGGUGGGGUUUGUUGCCAGAGCCAUUAAAGCAUAAUGGUCCCAGAAAAAGCUGCCAACAAAUGUGGGAAUAAUGGCACCUAUGGGUGUGCUGUCAAUGGAUGGUACUGCCAGGAUGAUUUUUUAUUUUAUUUUAAUGGUGACAUUGCUAAAAGUAUUUAAGGGUAAUGUUAUAGGAAGUGUUUUAGUGAGUGAAGUCACUGAGUUCCAGGAACCAUUAAGCAAAACCUGUUUCAUGACUCUACUAUUUAGUAUUUUAAAGCUGGAUGGCAAACCACUUGAUGCUGGAAAAGCAAGCUGCAACCUGUAUUAAAGUAUGCUGCAGGUGGACAAGGAAAACAUCCUACUGAAUUGAAUAGCCCAAGGUAGUUUCUGAAUGUUGUACACAUUUCAUGUGCACCAUGAUAAAUUAAUGCAACUCUAUGCAUCAGCAGAGCUUGUAAACAUUGAAUUAAAUACUGGAGCUCAGACCGUACGUGGUACUCGUAUACCUAGUUCUCACUGAAGACAGUGUUUCUUUAGUUAAAAUGCCAGUCUGAGGAGCUGAGCCCUCAGGCUUUCUGUGCUCCCAUCUCACCUCCAUGAUCUUGAGAAUACUUUUUAAAGACUAGUUCUCAGACUUAGAUCUAGAUCUCUCCCUAAUAAAAUGGGCUAGCUGAGGUCUCAGUGUAAAGCAAGGACAUUCUUUUUGAAUUGUAAAUCACAGACUUACCUGACAAGACUUCCAUAUAAAGGAGAGAAAAAGCCUAUUUCUUCCAUAAUAAUGCUUGCAGAUUCCUAUUGAGUCCAUUGGGCCAGGAUUCUCAACUUUUGUAUCCCAAGAUGUGUUUUAAGUUGUGUUUAAGCCAGCUGCCUACUCCAGACUUCUUCCAGAGGACUUCACAGCUACGGUAAAUACCAGCUACAGUAGUUAGAAGAGGGGAAUCAGUGUGUAAUUUCCCUUCCACAUUCUGGGAUUUAUUGGUCCCACGCUCUUCACCUGGGGAGCCUCUGACAUUAAUUUUUUUUUUUGUUUUGUUUUUGUUGGUUUGUUUAUUUGUUUUUAAAUCCAGGCCUCUAUUUCACUCUGUCUACAGAGCUAUUAUUGGCCACUAUUGUUUUUAUUAUUCCAUGACUUCUCUGGGAAGAGAAGGAUGGGCAGGACCUCAGUGACAUUGCCAGAGCAAGUCAUCAGUGGCCAUGUCUGCCCCUUAGGAGGUCACAGGAAACAGGUGGCUCUGUUAAUUGUCCUUACUCCCAACUCUUGUCCUUCCUGGAGGGAAUUUAGAAGUGGUCAGGAAGUGUCAGGCCUACUGUGUCCCCCCAGGUUCGUUACUUCAGGCAUUCAUCAUAAUUUGAGGUAUGUGCCAAGAAAAGGAGACUGUAUGGGAAUCCUUACUCCUUUUUAAGCUGAGUGGCUACCUGGCUGAGAGGGCAGAAUGCUGUUGCUGCAGAGUAUGUUUGGGAUUGCAGAUGGAAUCCAGCAAAGUUACAAAUAAUUAUAUGAAAAAAAGUAUUUCCCUAUCAUACACUGUUUUCUUUCUUGCAAGAUAAUCAUAAAAAGUACUAGGUAAGCAAACUACAAAAACUCAAGAGGGGCAUGAAAUAUUUCUGGAAACUAUGAUCCACUUUUAUCUGGUGAGUUGAGGAUGGAGAAUGUCAGUGUAUUUUCUGCUUAGGCCAGUUUUAAUUGUCUUUGUUGCUACUGCACCAUCAGUAGUCAUGGAUCUCUAAAUGGCACUCAGUCCUGUGCUUUGGAAAAUCAGUUAGGGUCUUGAUUCUUUAUAUGAGCUUCUUGUUAACAGCUUGCUUGAUUUUUUUAGCUGUGAAGGUGCAUAGCAUUGCUGAGUAUCUCACUGCCAAUGUGGCACCCAGUGCUGUAAACCAGAUUUUGAAUUACCAGUAAUGUUGCUAUAAAAUGUCUUUUGGAAAGUAUUCACUCACCUUGGAAGUGAUGUGAAUUAAGUAAUAAAUAUACUAAUUAUUUAUCUGCCAUAUGCAUUUGGGGUGAAAACUCUGAGCUUCUGCUAAGGUGUACUCUUGGUGUUACUGAGACUACUUGGCUAAAUAAGGUGGGCUGUAGGAUUAUGUGGUUGGUGAAUCACACUGGUUUCUGAAUCACUCUUAGAAAAUACCAUCCUGAAAUGCUAGCAGAUAAUGAACACAUUGUGCUUGGACUGGUACAUUAUUUAAAGAAUAGCAUUUUAAAGUAGAAUAUUUUGUAAAAUGUUAGUUUAAGAGCCAUUUUGCAAUUUACUUCCAUCAAACCCAUUGUACCAGGAAAAAUACCUCCUUCAGAAGGGAAAAGGUGUCAGUAUUGUGGAAAAAUAUCUGAUUUUUAUCCUGCUAUUUGCUAUUUAAGCUCCCUUCUUUUCAGUGCAAGGAGAUCAGCUGACAACAGCAGCAACCAAAUCAUGUUUGCAGCUGGGCAAUUACAGUAGACCCUAAGAUCUGCAACUGUCAGCCAUGAACGCAGAUGCCUUCAAAGUUCUGUUUUUCUUCCGUGUGGAAGUCGUUGGCAUGGAACAGAUGCCUUCAUUUUGGAGAAACCAACCGCUGGAUAUAAUUGGUUCUCUCUUGUCUUGUCCUCUAGGGACAGUCUCUCGCAGAUGAAAUUAGAUGAGAGGAAAAAAAAAAAAAAUACACAGGCACACACGCUCGCACAUGACAUGAAGCAGGAGUUUUCAGGAUCCCUCUCUGUUUUGUCACGUGGAACUGUUUUCAGCUGGAAGAUUUCAUUCCAUUUUUAGCACUCUACACACACACACGAUGAUGCUAUAUGAAAAACAUGCAAAUGAAAAUAUGUAUCUGGCCAAAGUUUAUUAUUAAUCUAGGCAUGCUUGUUUAGAAAUAAGACAAGCAUGUCCAUCCCAUAUUACUUUAGUGUUAAAUGUUGACUUCUGUGAUAUCUGUUAGUGCUGCAGUCUCAGAAAUUUAAAGUUAAGUCUCAAAUGAGACAAGAUGCUUUAAAAACUGUUUUGUUGCAGUUUUGGAAUCAAAGUAUUUUUAUCAAAUUAUUUGGUAGUUGUUAACAUGGGAGGAAAAAAAGCAAGUAACAGACUUCAAAAUUCACCUAGCAUUACAGGCAUUCAAUUAAGAAAGCAUCUUUACAGGAACUUCGGCAGAGUUAGUCUGAUGGACGCCUGUGAUGUGCCAUUUCUGGGAGCCCUGUGGUAGGGUACUGGAGUGACUGUGUCCUCUUACUGCAGGCACUGAAAAUGAAAUGAUGGCAAAUGGACUUACAGGCUGUAACAGAGAAGGAGAAUCUGCCUACACUGUGCCUGUCAGAGAGUUUCUGUCAUCCCCUCUCUGCCCUGGUGUAAGAAUUAUCAAACCAUUGUGGUUUGUGUUACUUAAUUAUACUCUUAAAAUAAAUGUAUACCAACUUUAGAUUACCGUAUUAAGCUCAGUUGUGAACUGUGACAGUCAGGCGGUGCUGUGUAUUCUUGAGUAGACUGGGUACAUCCAGGAGGUGGGUGCAGCAGGGGAUCGGGGGCUGCCAGGAAGUAAAACCACCAUUGCUGGUACGCAAGACUCUGGAGGCCUCAUCUCAGAAUGCCUUUUGUUUAUUAAGUUUUAUUUCCUAGUAGAAGUUGGGGUUUUUGGUUUUGGUUGUGGUUAUUUUUUUAAAUUUAAAUAGAUUUUGCAGUUUGAGGUAUAGGUCUCUAUUUUACAUGAUGCAUUUGCUACCUACUGUAAUAGUAAUGUCACCAGCAGUGAAAACUGUCAGGAGUUACCUUGGUCCUGCCUGGGUAGAGUUGGCAAAGGAAGUCAGCAGUUUAGACACUUGAUGUAGCUGGAUAGCUGCCCUGUGCUGUGCUCCUUUGUUUCCUGCUAACCCCCGGGAGCUGUGUGGGUGGAGGGACUUUGAGCAGUUAGAAGGAAGCCCCAGGUAAACUUGUUUUUGAACUGAUGACUCUUCAGCUUUUAUAGAGAGAGAUUUUUUGCUGUGGGACUCCAGUUCUAAUUCACAGAACUUGAAUGCGACACUGUGCUUGCCCUUAGCAUUACAUUUCUGAAGAAUGGCAUAUUAAAGGGAAAAUUUAACUGGGGAAGUGCUUAGGUGAUGAAGGGAUUUCUGGCAGUAACUAGGAAGUGCAAUAAUGGUUCGUUUCAUUUGAGGCUGAUCCUGAUAUUUGUAGUCUUUACAUCCUAUUAAUUCCUUGAAAGAUAAGCUGAUAUAAGAAUGAUUUGCCAGGGCCAAUGGCUCUUCUAAAAGUCUUGGCUCAGGUUAUAUCCCUCUUCUCUACACAUACAAGAUAAAAGCACUCUGAAUAUGAGGUUAACUGAAUUCAAAUAGAAGACUCUCUAGAGUUAUUGCAUUCCUUAGAAAAUAAAUACAUUUCUCAUAUGGUUGAGAUUGAUCAAAAAAGUAUUCUGUAUGCCAGUGAUUACAUUCCCAUCUGUGAUUAAGGUUUUCUGUCUGCAUCUGGUUUUCACAUUAUAUUUCUGUAACAGGAAUCCUUUAUAUGGCAGAGUUCACUCUCUGUAUUUUCUAUUAGCUGCAGCUUGAACUACUGCAUGGAUCGCAGAUUUACACAUGUGGUUUUCAUUACUUCAUACCAUUGAGAAAAAGUAAUAUUUGUUUGGGAAAGUAUGUUUUUCAAAAUUUCCAUGGUAAUACAACAUGUUGAUCCUUUUUUAUAACACUCAUGUAAGACUACAAAUUGUUUGAGGCAUUCUGCUUUCACUGAAGGUUCAGACAUUAGACAGCUUUCCAUGUACAUUCGAGCAACAGCAGCAGUUUACAAUUCACGAAGCAAAAAUACAUUUAAAGAAGGAGAUUAGUGUAGAAUGGGUAUAGCAAAAUGCAUCCAUCACUUUGGAAAA